rnacentral:tRNA from 1 species
CCCCGGGUGGCGAAACCGGUAAACGCGGUGGCCUUGGGAGCCACUGCUGCUUCGCAGCUUGAGGGUUCGAAUCCCUCCCCGGGGACCA